rnacentral:rRNA from 1 species
UGCGUAGGCGGCCCGGGAAGUUGGGUGUGAAAGCCCUCGGCUCAACCGAGGAAUUGCGCCCAAAACUGCCGGGCUUGAGGAAGAUAGAGGUGCGCGGAACUUAGGGUGGAGCGGUGAAAUGCGUUGAUAUCCUAAGGAACACCAGUAGCGAAAGCGGCGCACUGGGUCUUUUCUGACGCUGAUGCACGAAAGCUAGGGGAGCGAAGAGGAUUAGAUACCCUCGUAGUCCUAGCCGUAAACAAUGAGCACUGGUUUGGAGGGUCCUCCAUAGCCCUCCAGACGUAGCGAAAGUGUUAAGUGCUCCGCCUGGGGAGUAUGGUCGCAAGGCUGAA